CCAGACUCCUACGGGAGGCAGCAGUGAGGAAUAUUGGUCAAUGGCCGAGAGGCUGAACCAGCCAAGUCGCGUGAGGGAAGACGGCCCUACGGGUUGUAAACCUCUUUUGUCGGGGAGCAAAGCGAGUCACGUGUGACUCAUUGAGAGUACCCGAAGAAAAAGCAUCGGCUAACUCCGUGCCAGCAGCCGCGGUAAUACGGAGGAUGCGAGCGUUAUCCGGAUUUAUUGGGUUUAAAGGGUGCGCAGGCGGAGGUGCAAGUCAGCGGUCAAAUUGCGGGGCUCAACCCCGUACUGCCGUUGAAACUGGCAGUCUUGAGUGGGCGAGAAGUAUGCGGAAUGCGUGGUGUAGCGGUGAAAUGCAUAGAUAUCACGCAGAACUCCGAUUGCGAAGGCAGCAUACCGGCGCUCAACUGACGCUCAUGCACGAAAGCGUGGGUAUCGAACAGGAUUAGAUACCCUGGUA
rnacentral:rRNA from 1 species